UGGGGAAUAUUGCGCAAUGGGGGAAACCCUGACGCAGCAACGCCGCGUGGGUGAAGAAGGCCUUCGGGUUGUAAAGCUCUGUCUUCUGGGACGAUAAUGACGGUACCAGAGGAGGAAGCCACGGCUAACUACGUGCCAGCAGCCGCGGUAAUACGUAGGUGGCAAGCGUUGUCCGGAUUUACUGGGCGUAAAGGGAGCGUAGGCGGAUAUUUAAGUCAGAUGUGAAAUACCCGAGCUUAACUUGGGUGCUGCAUUUGAAACUGGAUAUCUGGAGUGCAGGAGAGGAAAGUGGAAUUCCUAGUGUAGCGGUGAAAUGCGUAGAGAUUAGGAAGAACACCAGUGGCGAAGGCGACUUUCUGGACUGUAACUGACGCUGAGGCUCGAAAGCGUGGGGAGCAAACAGG
rnacentral:rRNA from 3 species